rnacentral:rRNA from 1 species
AUUGAACGCUGGCGGCAUGCCUUACACAUGCAAGUCGAACGGCAGCGGACCUUCGGGUGCCGGCGAGUGGCGAACGGGUGAGUAAUGCAUCGGAACGUGCCCAAUCGUGGGGGAUAACGUAGCGAAAGUUACGCUAAUACCGCAUAAGCCCUGAGGGGGGAAAGUGGGGGACCGCAAGGCCUCACGCGAAUGGAGCGGCCGAUGUCAGAUUAGCUAGUUGGUGGGGUAAAGGCCCACCAAGGCGACGAUCUGUAGCGGGUCUGAGAGGAUGAUCCGCCACACUGGGACUGAGACACGGUCCAGACUCCUACGGGAGGCAGCAGUGGGGAAUAUUGGACAAUGGGCGCAAGCCUGAUCCAGCAAUGCCGCGUGUGUGAAGAAGGCCUGCGGGUUGUAAAGCACUUUCAGUGGGGAAGAACAGAUUCGGGUCAAUACCCCGGAGCCCUGACGUUACCCACAGAAGAAGCACCGGCUAACUCCGUGCCAGCAGCCGCGGUAAAG